AGAAGAAGAAGACAAAGGAUGCGGCCUUGUUCGAGGACAGACAUGUUGCAGCAGUUGGGGAGGAAAACACAAAUGUUGCCUGAACAGCAUUAUUGGCUCUACCUGUUGUUCAGAAGGACAUUAAAGAAGAAGAGAAACACUGGAUAAGUCAGCAGGGACGGCCGCUUCACGGCUGGAGGAAGCUGAUAUAACUAAGUUACCUUUCACUGUGUCCCGUUGAAGAGUGAAAAUGAUGAUGAAAUGCUACAGUCAUCACAGGUUCAA